UACGUAGGGGGCAAGCGUUGUCCGGAUUUAUUGGGCGUAAAGAGCGUGUAGGCGGCCAGAUAGGUCGGUUGUGAAAACUGGAGGCUUAACCUCCAGACGUCGACCGAAACCAUCUGGCUAGAGUCCGGAAGAGGAGAGUGGAAUUCCUGGUGUAGCGGUGAAAUGCGCAGAUAUCAGGAAGAACACCCGUGGCGAAAGCGGCUCUCUGGGACGGUACUGACGCUGAGGAGCGAAAGCGUGGGGAGCGAACAGG
rnacentral:rRNA from 1 species